GGGGAAUUUUCCGCAAUGGGCGAAAGCCUGACGGAGCAAGACCGCGUGGGGGAGGACGGUUUGUGGAUUGUAAACCCCUUUUGAUAGAGAAGAUGAUGACGGUAUCUAUCGAAUCAGCAUCGGCUAACUCCGUGCCAGCAGCCGCGGUAAUACGGGGGAUGCAAGCGUUAUCCGGAAUGAUUGGGCGUAAAGCGUUCGUAGGUGGUUUAUCAAGUCAGUUGUCAAAGCGUGGAGCUUAACUCCAUAAAGGCAGUUGAAACUGAUAGGCUAGGGUGCGAUAGGGGCAAGGGGAAUUCCCCGUGUAGCGGUGAAAUGCGUAGAGAUGGGGAAGAACACCGGAGGCGAAAGCGCCUUGCUGGGUCUGCACUGACACUGAGGGACGAAAGCUAGGGGAGCGAAAGGGAUUAGAUACCCCUGUAGUC
rnacentral:rRNA from 1 species